CCCCCCCCACGGCACCACCAGGCUUCUGUAACUUAUAAAAUGGCGGCGUCCACAUGUAUACGUCCUUCCCGGGAUUAGCCAGGCAGCUAGAGGAUGACUUAAUAAGGAGAGUGGAGAAACUGGCCAAUUAAUGAACAUGCCCUGGUGAGUGCCGGGUCUCGCGCUGUCAGAGAGAUGGCCGCCGUAGCGGUCACCACGCCGACCCGCCGCAGCGGUCACCACUCCGACCGCAUGGUCUGCCGAGCGGGACGAGUAGUCGGCGGCUGGCACUCCGGAUUUCUCCCCUAUUCCGCCCACAAUAGAUGAGUGAUCAGUGCCCACAUCACCGGACCUCCACGGAUGAACCUGUCAGGCUGGGGAGGCUCAUUCCUAGGAGAGAUCGUGUUUUGAGAUCAUUAAUCCACCACUGAAGGAAGUCAGAGCAGAAACUCAAGCAGGGACUUGAAGAAGAAACCAUGGAGGAAUACGGCUUGCUGGCUCACCUUUCAAGAUGUUCAACUUGGCUGCUCCAGCUACCAUGCCUGCUGCCUGCCACCUCCACUCUGUCAUGGAACUGUAAGCCCAAAUAAACUCUUUUUUUAUCUAAGUUGCCUUGGCCACGUUUUAUCACAAUAUCAGAAAAGUGACUGAUACACAGGGUUUCUUACUGAACCUGGAGCUGGCCAGCAAGCCUGUGGGAGCCAUCUGUUUCUAUCCAUGAGUGCUGCACUGUGCCGUCAUGCUCAGCUUCUAAAGAUGUGCUUGGGAUCUGAACUCAAGUCUUCAUGCAAGCACUUUGCCCAUUGAACUAUCUCCCCCAUCUCUCCCAUGGCUCUUGGUAAUGUUGUUCUAAAAUGUCACUCAAAUAAAUUUGUAUCCUUUUGUAAA
rnacentral:lncRNA from 1 species